GAUGAACGCUGGCGGCGUGCCUAAUACAUGCAAGUCGAGCGAACAGACGAGGAGCUUGCUCCUCUGACGUUAGCGGCGGACGGGUGAGUAACACGUGGAUAACCUACCUAUAAGACUGGGAUAACUUCGGGAAACCGGAGCUAAUACCGGAUAACAUGUUGAACCGCAUGGUUCAACAGUGAAAGACGGUUUUGCUGUCACUUAUAGAUGGAUCCGCGCCGCAUUAGCUAGUUGGUAAGGUAACGGCUUACCAAGGCAACGAUGCGUAGCCGACCUGAGAGGGUGAUCGGCCACACUGGAACUGAGACACGGUCCAGACUCCUACGGGAGGCAGCAGUAGGGAAUCUUCCGCAAUGGGCGAAAUCCUGACGGAGCAACGCCGCGUGAGUGAAGAAGGUCUUCGGAUCGUAAAACUCUGUUAUUAGGGAAGAACAAAUGUGUAAGUAACUAUGCACGUCUUGACGGUACCUAAUCAGAAAGCCACGGCUAACUACGUG
rnacentral:rRNA from 1 species